UACGAAGGGUGCAAGCGUUAAUCGGAAUUACUGGGCGUAAAGCGUGCGUAGGCGGUUUCUUAAGUCUGCUGUGAAAGCCCUGGGCUCAACCUGGGAAUGGCGGUGGAUACUGAGAAGCUGGAGUACGGUAGGGGAAGGUGGAAUUCCCGGUGUAGCGGUGAAAUGCGUAGAGAUCGGGAGGAACAUCAGUGGCGAAGGCGGCCUUCUGGACCAGUACUGACGCUGAGGCACGAAAGCGUGGGGAGCAAACAGG
rnacentral:rRNA from 1 species